CACUUACCCAAGCUCCUCUCUCUCCAUGAUCUACCUGUUGCUUCUGGUUCCCUGUGGCUUCCUUUGCAAUCCUCCAGACAGAAAACUAAGGUUUCAUCUGCCCUGCUUUUCUUCACACUCGCCACAGCUACAAUCAUAUUUCAGGUGGUGAAAUUAUCUUCAGAUUAAGUGACUUGCUUUGUGGCUGACAACUGCUUCCAGAUGGAUGGGGACAUGUGACUGACCUAAUGAGUGUAAAUCUGCUGGGAGCUAAUGGAAAUAAGAGGGUAACUAAGCAUUUUUCUUACCCAUUGAAUGAAGUGAGAUUUACUCAUUGGCCUUCGUUUUCUAUAGCCUUGGCCUAUCCAUAUGCUGCAAGAAGUAUAAACGGGUAGAAAACUGACUGCUCCUACUUGGAUCAGAAUUCUCUGGCCUUAUUCACCAUCCCAGCCUUUCAUGAGCUUUCUAGACUCUAAACUCUCCCUUUCUGCUGGCUUCUCUCUGCCUUAGCUUGAUCUGCCUUUCUAGAUGGUCGACUUUUCUGGCACUAAAUGUUACUCAGUAAUUUUUUCCAUGGUUAUUUGUGUUUAGGGUUUAUUAAAAAAAAAUACCCUCGGUUAGAAUUAGGUGCUUACAAAACCAUUGAAAGCCCAAAGUAGCAAGUCACUGGCUUUAGGUUUAGCGCUACAAAGAGACAGAGUUGCUGCCACCCAGAGCCAGCAAUCUGCAGAAAUCUGCUGAAGAGUUCAGAGCCCCUUCAUGGCAUCCAGGAAAGUGAAUGGCAGGAGAACACAGAAAUGGCUACGAAAACUCAUGCCUGGGAAAUCCACAUCUCCACUCACUGUCAUAGAAAAAGAUGGCUUCUGCUUCUUCUGCCUUCCAGAUCUUGUGAGAGCAGACCUCAUUUGUGGAACCCUGAACAAAUUCAAAACCUUGUUGGCAAUAGAGUCCAAGAAGUGUAGCUCCCAGGCUUCUUGCCUUGGCAAAACAAAAAGAGAACUGAAAGGGGUAUGAAGAAUAUUGAGUGCCAGCAGUUAAUAUUAGCAAACUAAUAAUGUUUAAUUCCAACGGCAAGGAACAAAACAAAACAUGUUUUUCAUCUGGCAAGUCAGCACUUGGUUGGUGUUUAUUCUUGUGAAAUAGAAUUUUAUUAGUCAUAGACAUAUUUGGUAAUCAUAUAGAUGUGACUAUCCACAGCUAGUCACAAUGCAAUGAGGAAUGCUUUUCUAUCACAUGAGAUGUCUCUAAUCCUGCUCCCAGUAGGGCCUGGGGAGUGUCUGGAAUGUGUGCGCAAAGCCAACAAUUGUGGAAUUACUGUGGCUAGCCUCUCAGUCUUGACACAUGAAGACCUCCCAAUCUACUCUGUAAAUUGCACUUUGCUAAAUUCCUGAGUGGUCUGCUCACUUUCUUACCCCUUUCCUCUGAACUUUUUGAAAGUCCUGGAGAGGUCAUAGAUUUUGCUUCAACGAAAAUAGAGCUCCCCAGUAACAAUGUAAUCACACUAUGAGAAGAAGUUGGCACUUAUAGGUGGUUACUUUCUAAUCUCAUCUUCAUGAUGAUUAAGAAUCCAUGAGCUCUUCUGAAUUUCCAGACUAAAAUUAAGCUGUGGUCAUAGCCAGCAUUCAUAUCUUAUUCCUUCCCUUAAUGGGAAUGCCUUCAAUGUUUUAUUGUUAAGGGUGAUAUCGAAUGUUGGCUUAAGAAUGGUUCUUUAUCUUGUUAAGGAAAGCUCUCUCCAUUCCUAGGUUAUGAAGCUUAUCAAAGGAAUGGAUGUAUUAGCAGAGGCCCUUUUAGGAUCUUGAUUGACUAACACAUACUGCUAAUUUUCUAAUCUUAAGCCAUCCUUACAUUCUAGUUAUAAAUUCUUACAUGAUUAUAAUUUCAUUCUUUUAAUAUCCAGUCUCCUUUCAUCAUUUGUGCUAGUUUCACAAAAUAAGUAGGAUACUCCCAUAUUUUAAUAUUCUGCAGCAUUUUUAACAUUGCAUUUAUUAUACAAACCUUAUGAAGAAUUUAUCACUAAAUCUAACUUUGGGGUAUUAGACAUGCUUUUUUGCUAUUAAUUGUCCAAUUUCUAUUUUCAUCCUUUCUUAUUGUUCUCCCAGGUCCCCUGUCUGAUUCACCUAACAAUUUUGUUUUCUGAACCCUUUAUUUAAGCCUUAGUUUAAGGCUCUUAUUUUGAGGGAACCCAGGCCAAAACAGUAUCUUUCAACCUAGCAGAAGAUUAGGUAUUCACGCUUUGGAAAGAAUGCACCAAAUAGACUCCAGUCACAGUGGAGAGAAAAGUGAGCUUUUAUCCAGAAGACAGGAGAUUUACAUGAAAGUCAACAUGAUGAAUGGUGAAACUGCAGUUUGUUUCCGUGACCAGGUAGCAGAAUCUAUCAUCUGGGCUCGUACACUCUAUACGGAGGAUGGAAGAAUUUAUUUGGAGAGAGGAUCUCUUUAUGACCAGAUAAAGGAAAAAUGCCUACAGAUAUUGACAGUGUGGAAUCCCCUACAACACUGGCCAAAUCCUGCUCAGUCAUCCUACAGUGAAACUCAUGAGUUAGCAAGGCCUCCUCUUGUACACUGUAGGGCCUGGGCCUUGCUUGCUCAGCAAGAGCCCACAAGCCCAUUGCAAACAUGUGUCCUUCUGGCCCUCUUCUGGGCAGGACGCCAAACCUCUGGGAUUUGUAACAAUCCAGGGCCUGGCCAGCCUGGGUCUUACCUUAUCUCACUCAAAGAACAUCAUGUCUAGAAGGAACACAGAGCCCCUUCAUGUGAACUACUAUUCCUGGGAAUGCUGGUGUACCAGGGACAGCCCCUCUCGGCAAGCGUAUAGCCUUCGUGCCCUCUGCCUAUAUAAGCAACCCCCUCCCCGCCUGCAGUUGCGGGUGCACAUUUCCGUCCAGCUGGCUGCCACUGGACAUUCCCUCUAAAUAACAACAAAUAAAGCCAUGUGUCUUGUUCCCCAUCUCCGUAUCUUUUCUUUGGUUUUUCCACAACAUAUCCUGCACUGCUUUCC
ensembl:lncRNA